rnacentral:rRNA from 1 species
GCCGCGAUGAGUGAAGAAGGCCUUAGGGUUGUAAAGCUCUUUCGCCCGUGACGAUGAUGACGGUAACGGGAGAAGAAGCCCCGGCUAAUUCCGUGCCAGCAGCCGCGGUAAUACGGAAGGGGCUAGCGUUGUUCGGAUUUACUGGGCGUAAAGCGCAUGUAGGCGGCGGAUCAAGUGGGGCGUGAAAGGCCUGGGCUCAACCUGGGAACUGCGCUUCAGACUGGUUCGCUCGAGUUCGGGAGAGGGUGGUGGAAUUCCCAGUGUAGAGGUGAAAUUCGUAGAUAUUGGGAGGAACACCGGUGGCGAAGGCGGCCACCUGGCCCGAGACUGACGCUCAAGUGCGAAAGCGUGGGGAGCAAACAGGAUUAGAUACCCUGGUAGUCCACGCUGUAAACGAUGGGUGCUAGAUGUCGGGGGGCUUGCUCUUCGGUGUCGCAGCUAACGCGUUAAGCACCCCGCCUGGGGAGUACGGCCGCAAGGUUAAAACUCAAAUGAAUUGACGGAA